GGGUUAAGUCCCGUAACGAGCGCAACCCUUGUCCUUAGUUACCAGCACGUUAUGGUGGGCACUCUAAGGAGACUGCCGGUGACAAACCGGAGGAAGGUGGGGAUGACGUCAAGUCAUCAUGGCCCUUACGGCCUGGGCUACACACGUGCUACAAUGGUCGGUACAGAGGGUUGCCAAGCCGCGAGGUGGAGCUAAUCUCACAAAACCGAUCGUAGUCCGGAUCGCAGUCUGCAACUCGACUGCGUGAAGUCGGAAUCGCUAGUAAUCGCGAAUCAGAAUGUCGCGGUGAAUACGUUCCCGGGCCUUGUACACACCGCCCGUCACACCAUGGGAGUGGGUUGCAAAAGAAGUAGGUAGCUUAACCUUCGGGAGGGCGCUUACCACGGUGUG
rnacentral:rRNA from 1 species